rnacentral:rRNA from 1 species
AACGAACGCUGGCGGCAUGCCUAACACAUGCAAGUCGAACGAGACCUCCGGGUCUAGUGGCGCACGGGUGCGUAACGCGUGGGAACCUGCCCUUAGGUUCGGAAUAACUCCCCGAAAGGGGUGCUAAUACCGGAUAAUGUCUUCGGACCAAAGAUCUAUCGCCUUUGGAUGGGCCCGCGUUGGAUUAGCUAGUUGGUAGGGUAAAAGCCUAGCAAGGCGACGAUCCAUAGCUGGUCUGAGAGGAUGAUCAGCCACACUGGGACUGAGACACGGCCCAGACUCCGACGGGAGGCAGCAGUGGGGAAUAUUGGACGAUGGGCGAAAGCCUGAUCCAGCAAUGCCGCGUGAGUGAUGAAGGCCUUAGGGUUGUAAAGCUCUUUUACCCGGGAUGAUAAUGACGGUACCGGGAGAAUAAGCUCCGGCUAACUCCGUG